CGGGAAGUAGCGCAGCUGGCUAGCGCACCUGGUUUGGGACCAGGGGGUCGCGAGUUCGAAUCUCGCCUUCCCGACCA
rnacentral:tRNA from 1 species